CAGGAUUAAAAACUUCCCCAAAAGGCUGCAUUCUUGAACCUGCUGCCUCAGAGGUUUGAAGACAAAGUAGCAAAACGAGCCUCAUCCGGGAAAAGUUCAAGCUAAUACAUCUUGGCAAACAUAACGAAAAACACAGACAGUUGCUUUAAGAGAGGAACCCAGAAAGAGGUCAAGUUCUGCUGAGAGAGGCAGAGCGGCAAUUAGAUGGGGGCUUAUGUUGCAGCGUGGCGGCAAAGGGGUCAGAGAGAGGAAAAACAUUUCUCCACUGUGUUCAUCGCCUAGCCGGUCACUGAAGCAAUUACUGGGUCUUUUUUGAAAAGAACCUUUGGAGCCACGAUGUGAGAAGUCUGGUUACCCCCGUGCGUGAGCCACAGUGCUGGGAAGACCUGAGAGAGAGACAGAGAGAGGAAGGAAGGGAGGAGGAGAGGGAGACGUCUGAGGAGGUCCAGCUGUUCCAGUCCCCACCUGUUGGAUUCUUCCCAGGCUGAGCUCUAGACAUGUGAGGAAGGAGCCUUUAGAUUAUUUCCUCCCUAAUCACAGGCUGAUGGCAACUAUUUGAGAUUUCCUGAGCAGGAACCACCCAACUAAGCCCAAUCAAUCCUCAGAA
rnacentral:lncRNA from 1 species